GGAUUUCUGCGUGGUUCGUGGACCGCACUAACCCUGGGGCCAAUGCUCUCCUCUAGGGAGCUGUCCCUGGCCUAGAUCCUGGUCCUGGCCACACGGCGCCCACCUGCGCAAGCAGGCCACAGAGGUUGCGCCAGGUCCACGGCCGACGUGGUGCCGCC
rnacentral:other from 1 species